rfam:Drosophila willistoni strain TSC#14030-0811.24 scf2_1100000004515 genomic scaffold, whole genome shotgun sequence.
UUCGAGUCCAAUCUAAUUCUAUCUUAUGAUCAUUGCCUAAUAAGAUAGACUCGCUUUUGGACUAGAUAAAUUUUCUUCUUUUAUUAUCCUUGUGCUUUGUGUCCUUUUAUCUGACAAGGCACACGAGAAACGUAAAUGAACAAAA